rnacentral:rRNA from 1 species
UACAGAGGUCUCGAGCGUUAGGCGGAAUCACUGGGCUUAAAGCGUGUGUAGGCGGCGGGCUAAGUACCUUGUGAAAUCCCACGGCUUAACUGUGGAACUGCUGGGUAUACUGGUUCGCUUGAGCGGUCUAGGGGCGAGCGGAACAAAUGGUGGAGCGGUGAAAUGCGUAGAGAUCUGGAAGAACACCAAUGGCGAAGGCAGCAUCCUGGGAGGCAUCUGGACGCUGAGGCGCGAAAGCCCAGGGGAGCGAACGGG